AGAAAACAAACAAAAUGAAUAUAUUGCUAAUGCUGCAUAAUCCAACUUAAUUGUAAUUUUUUUCUUCUUGAAAAUGGGCCAAAAGAUAAUAUAAUUAAUUCCAAAUUUUCUACAAUAACAAUAAAAACCAAAAGGCAAUGUAGAAAAUUAAAGUUAAAAUCAAGAUCAAAAUGAUAUACAAAAAGGUACCAUUAAGAGAAAGAUUGAGCCGUCCCCGCCAAUAUCACCACCACCCUCCGCCGCCAACCAUCACCGUCAGCCGCCGUCAACCGCCGUGAAUCAAGAACAAAUGGAACAACAUUUGGAGAAAUCCAUUUCAAGCAGAAAAAGUUGAAAUUUUGAACCCAUAAAGUAGCUGGAAAUAAAACCAACUAUCUGCAUUUGCAUUUGCAGUUGAUGUAGGAACAUUUUCUUGAAAUCUAAAUCCACUGAAACCUUUGUUGCACACAAGGUGUUUGAUUUAUUUCCCCACUCGUUUUUCCUCAGCUUCCAGCAGCAGAUUAAAGUCCUACAUAGUAUUAGGACAAGAAAAAAAGAUGAGAUUUUUGAAGCUCCCCAUCUUCAAGAAACUUAAAUGGGUCUUUCAUUUUGUCUUUUUUGGUGCAUUUUGAUUCAAAUGAAUGUUGAAGGUUAAACCAACGACAACGACAAACUCGGUGAAAUCUCACAAGUGAGGCCUGGAAAAGGUAGUGUGUACGCCGACCUUACCUCUACCCUGAUUUUCGAAAAGACCCUCUGCUCGAGAGGAUGAAUAAUGUUGAAGGUUAAACCAAGAAAGGUAAAAACUUGGGCAUUGAAACGGUGAGAUGGUAGCAUAAAUAUUGUCUUCGAAACUUACCGGCUCAACUAAUUCAGAUUCGCAUCAUAAAAGGUCCACUAUUAGAGUUUAACCUCUCCCAAUCAAAGAGGACUUUAUUUCAUAAUAUUAAACUCGAGACGUCUUGUUAAAGAUGAAGAAGUCUUUACCAUUCCGCGGUAUCCUUUCAUGAGUAUUUUUUUCCUUGUUUUCUUCUCUCCUUUGAUGGUUUUUCAAAAGGGGGCCUUAAUUUUGAUGAGAAAUAUUGUCCUAACCUUAAAAAUCAGAAGUAAAAAUAUCUUUCAGUUGUUGUAAUAUACUACUGAAGUCUAUAAGGAAUUAGGGGUAGGAAGAAAAGGGGGCAAAAGAAGAAGAGAAAGAAGAUUAAGGAGACAGCUCAGAACAUAGAAAUGUUUUGCAUUGUGUGUGUUUGUGUGUUUGUUUAUGUCUAUUUCCAACACAAUGAACGUUUGCCUUAAACAACAUAAUGAAGCCAAAUAAAUGAAACAUGAAAAAUAGUGUUUG
rnacentral:lncRNA from 1 species